rnacentral:tRNA from 1 species
GGUGGGAUGGCAGAGUGGCCGAAUGCGGCGGUUUUGAAAACCGCUGAGCCCGCAAGGGCUCCGGGGGUUCGAAUCCCUCUCCCACCGCCA